GAUGGUAUUCCCAUUGAUAAAGGGACCGUUCUCCUUAAGAUAAUCAUUGAAUGAUGUUAGCUCACUAAGUAAUGCUUGCUCUGUUCCAUCAUUGGGGUCCUUGCUCUUAAGAAAACCAAUAAAAGCUGAGAAGAUCUUCGAACCAACUGAAGCCUUCUCAGGAGGAGUUGCCAAAGGUGGAUCAGGGUAUUUUUCUUCCAAUGCUUGAGUUAUAACAUCUGAAUCAGCAAUCCACUUCUCAUCGAGUUUUACAACAGGAACUUUACCUUCCGGGCUAACUUCCAAAAACCAUUCAGGUUUGUUAGCAAGAUCUAUCAACUUCAUGCUAUAAGG
rnacentral:misc_RNA from 1 species